rnacentral:lncRNA from 1 species
AGAACAAAUUACACUGCAGAGGUAUCAGCGGUAAUGUAAAAAGUCUCCCUUAAAUAAACUAAGUUUUAUCUGAGCAAACUUUUUAUGGCUCCACAAGAACCUCAUUGGAGAAGCCACAGGCAAACAAGGUACAGAUGGAUUGGAAAAAAAGGAAUGAAGAAUUAGUCUUUCUCAAGGAAAUUGUGAAACUCCAUCUUAAAGGAACACUUGCAGGAACCUCAAGAGACCACGUGAAAACCCAAAAGAGAAAGAUGCUUGCUGAACGCACAAAGGCCUUGGUUCUUUCUGACAUUCUACUUUGUGAGCCUCUUCAGCUAUUGUUCUCAUUCAGCCAAGAAAACAGUUGGAGAUCCAGAAACCGAUGUUUAUCUGGUGGCUCAGAAGGUGCAACUCCAGAAGCCAUGAACGUGUUCCUCCCCUAGGAUGCAGAACAGGGAUGCAUCCGAAACGCUCAGAUGUUUGGUGUUCCUGAACCUUCCAGCCAGUCUCAGAGCAGCUAAGUAAAUGGCCAGAUGGAAUUAACCAGUUGAUGCACAUUUUAGACAUGACUCUAAAAUAGAAUAUUAUUUAUUAAAUAAGAUGACAAAGUGGUGUGCUCAUUUCUGUAAAUAAAAAUUAAAGACAUAAAGUU